rnacentral:rRNA from 1 species
GGUCAGCGACUUAUAUUCUGUAGCAAGGUUAACCGAAUAGGGGAGCCGGAGGGAAACCGAGUCUUAAUUGGGCGUUAAGUUGCAGGGUAUAGACCCGAAACCCGGUGAUCUAGCCAUGGGCAGGUUGAAGGUUGGGUAACACUAACUGGAGGACCGAACCGACUAAUGUUGAAAAAUUAGCGGAUGACCUGUGGCUGGGGGUGAAAGGCCAAUCAAACCGGGAGAUAGCUGGUUCUCCCCGAAAGCUAUUUAGGUAGCGCCUCGUGAAUUCAUCUCCGGGGGUAGAGCACUGUUUCGGCUAGGGGGCCAUCCCGGCUUACCAACCCGAUGCAAACUGCGAAUACCGGAGAAUGUUAUCACGGGAGACACACGGCGGGUGCUAACGUCCGUCGUGAAGAGGGAAACAACCCAGACCGCCAGCUAAGGUCCCAAAGUCAUGGUUAAGUGGGAAACGAUGUGGGAAGGCCCAGACAGCCAGGAUGUUGGCUUAGAAGCAGCCAUCAUUUAAAGAAAGCGUAAUAGCUCACUGGUCGAGUCGGCCUGCGCGGAAGAUGUAACGGGGCUAAACCAU